rnacentral:lncRNA from 1 species
CCCAGGCCAGUCCCCAUCAUUCUGCAGUGCUGUGCUUUCGGAGCCAUCCCUGUGUCUGACAGCCUUGUUCGUGGAGCACUAAAUGAUGCUCUUGGGGUCUCCUGCGAGUUUUUGUCAUGGGACAGUGCUGUGAAUGGCAGGCAUGGUGAUCUCCAGCGGCCCUUCCUGAGUUAUGGCUUUGUACCCUAGAGAGAGCUGGCAGUGAGAGAUGGGAGGCACGGU